CGGGGGUAAUACGGAGGGUGCGUGUGUUGGCGGGAAUCACUGGGCGUAAAGGGCGCGUAGGUGGCCACCAUAAGGCGGCGGUGAAAGUUCGGGGCUCAACCCCGGAUCGGCCGGGGCGAUUGUGGGGCUCGGGUACUGUAGAGGCAGAUGGAAUUCCGGGUGUAGCGGUGGAAUGCGUAGAGAUCCGGAAGAACACCAGUGGCGAAGGCGGUCUGCUGGGCAGUGGGAUCGAAAGGUCCCUUCAACCGACACUGAGGCGCGACAGCGUGGGGAGCAAACAGGAUUAGAUACCCGAGUAGUC
rnacentral:rRNA from 1 species